rnacentral:rRNA from 1 species
AGCGAACGCUGGCGGCAGGCCUAACACAUGCAAGUCGAACGAAGUCUUCGGACUUAGUGGCGGACGGGUGAGUAACACGUGGGAACGUGCCUUUAGGUUCGGAAUAACUCAGGGAAACUUGUGCUAAUACCGAAUGUGCCCUUCGGGGGACAGAUUUAUCGCCUUUAGAGCGGCCCGCGUCUGAUUAGCUAGUUGGUGAGGUAAAGGCUCACCAAGGCUACGAUCAGUAGCUGGUCUGAGAGGAUGACCAGCCACAUUGGGACUGAGACACGGCCAGAACUCCUACGGGAGGCAGCAGUGGGGAAUCUUGCGCAAUGGGCGAAAGCCUGACGCAGCCAUGCCGCGUGGAUGAUGAAGGUCGUAGGAUUGUAAAAUCCUUUCACCGGUGAAGAUAAUGACUGUAGCCGGAGAAGAAGCCCCGGCUAACUUCGUGCCAGCCGCCGCGGUAAUAC